rnacentral:rRNA from 1 species
GUGGGGAAUUUUGGACAAUGGGCGAAAGCCUGAUCCAGCAACGCCGCGUGAGUGAUGAAGGCCUUCGGGUUGUAAAGCUCUGUCGGAGGGAACGAAUAAGGGCGACCUAACACGUCGUCCGACGACGGUACCCUUAAAGGAAGCAACGGCUAACUCUGUGCCAGCAGCCGCGGUAAGACAGAGGUUGCAAGCGUUGUUCGGAAUCACUGGGCGUAAAGGGCGUGUAGGCGGCGGAGUAUGUCCGAUGUGAAAUCCCUCGGCUCAACUGGGGAAUGGCAUUGGAAACUGCUUCGCUCGAGUGCGGAAGAGGGUGGCGGAAUUCCCAGAGUAGAGGUGAAAUUCGUAGAUACUGGGAGGAACACCGGUGGCGAAGGCGGCCACCUGGUCCGUAACUGACGCUGAGACGCGAAAGCGUGGGGAGCAAACAGGAUUAGAAACCCGGGUAGUCC